GAAAUAUAUCACCGUUCCUUCACUGUUGCUGGGUAAAAAUCCUGAAAUUCCCUCCCUAAUGGCAUGGUGGAUCAACCUCGCAUGGUGGACUGUAAGGUUUCAAGGAGCAGCUCGGCACAACAUUCUCAAGGGCAAUUCGGGACGGGCAAUAAAUGCUUACAAGCUUUUAUGUUUUUAAGAUGCCAUCAACUGGAAUAAACAAAAUCAUUCAAAUACAGAAUCUCCAUAGGCAUUUAAGAUCUGACAAAGGACACUAAAAGAAAUCCAAGAACUAAGAACAUGAUAGAAGCCAUUCAUUACAAAAGAAUCAAUACUCAACUUUUAAUAGUCACAGAUUUCUUAAAAUAGUUUUCUAAGUGGAGCCGCAGAAAAUGGGGGAGACACUAAAUGAGUAUUUUGCAUCAGAAUUCACUGUGGAAAAAGAUAUGGAAGA